GACAGGGAGCUCAGUCGGUAGAGCCCGAGGUGCUUAAUCUCAGUGCCAUGGGUUCAAGCCUCACCUUGGGCA